AGCGAACGCUGGCGGCAGGCCUAACACAUGCAAGUCGAACGGGCUCUUCGGAGCUAGUGGCGGACGGGUGAGUAACACGUGGGAACGUGCCUUUAGGUUCGGAAUAAGCCCGGGAAACUGGGUCUAAUACCGAAUGUGCCCUUCGGGGGAAAGAUUUAUCGCCUUUAGAGCGGCCCGCGUCUGAUUAGCUAGUUGGUGAGGUAAUGGCUCACCAAGGCGACGAUCAGUAGCUGGUCUGAGAGGAUGACCAGCCACAUUGGGACUGAGACACGGCCCAAACUCCUACGGGAGGCAGCAGUGGGGAAUCUUGCGCAAUGGGCGAAAGCCUGACGCAGCCAUGCCGCGUGGAUGAUGAAGGUCUUAGGAUUGUAAAAUCCUUUCACCGGUGAAGAUAAUGACUGUAGCCGGAGAAGAAGCCCCGGCUAACUUCGUGCCAGCCGCCGCCGUAA
rnacentral:rRNA from 1 species